rnacentral:lncRNA from 1 species
GCAGGCGGCGCUGCAGGAGAGGAGAUGCCCAGGCCUGGCGGCCGGCGCACGUGGGUUCUCUGUGGCCAGCAGGCGGCGCUGCAGGAGAGGAGAUGCCCAGGCCUGGCGGCCGGCACACGCGGGUUCUCUGUGGCCAGCAGGCGGCGCUGCAGGAGCGCUCAGAAGCAGGGGCCUGGGCCUGCUCCGGGGGAAUCCGCCCACCCCACCGCGGCGGCCUCUCCUGAGGUUCCCUAGUGGCCGCGAAGGGUGGGCUCAGGGUGAGGGGUCAGGCCACAUCAGUGGGUGCAGGGAUGGCUGCGGCCACGGGAGGGCGUCCAGGGAGGAGGCCGGAGCUCAGGCCCACUCUGCACACCCAGCCCGCCACCUCCCCCGGCUCUCUCUUCCUUCGUGCACAUUCUGGGGCUUGUGCUUCUGCUGUGGUCCCAUUUAGCCAACCUGGCCAGCCUCUCAUGCCUGCUUCAUGGGUGAGACGUGGAGGCCAGGUCAGCCACAGACCCCGGGGCACACGCCGCAGCCAGCACAGCAGGUGGGCGUCUGCGGCCGGGGCCAGCGCAGGGCCCACUGGGCCUCGGAGGGGCCUCCCUGCCGACUCUGCCCCCGUCCUGUGGCCGUAAGUCCACCCAGAGCGCUCGAUCUUCCGUCCACCAGGCCAGGGAUGCGCGCAGAGACAGGCCAAGUGAACCAGGGCGAGCUCUUCUCUCCCUCUGACGGCCCCUCCACAGGAGAGGGACCUGGGACCAAGGUUCCUUCAGCCAUCAGACCCUAAGUCUCAGGGCACAGGGUCAGAAAGCUUCUAAGGACCCAUGAAAAUAUAGAAACUGGGUGAAAUUAACUCUUAUUGGCCCGACAUAUGAAAAGAAAAUUGCUUUUGAGCUUCCAGGAGAUCUUCUCAGGUUUUGUUUUGGGGAUUUCCUGGGAAGGGCAUGUUUCCAAACAAGACUCUUGCCGUCUGCUCCCCCGGAGCUCCCCAACCAGCCAGGAGAGGCCACUGGCAGGGAAGAAGGUCCAGCCCAGCACAGACUCCCCAGGGAGGGCCCCAGCCCAGUGGAAGGACCAUGGAAACCAUGUCAGUCUCCCUCAGCGGCUGCCCUGGGUUGACAUGUCCCCUUAGGGAUCUCAGGCUCUCAACCCUCUAGUCAAUUCUGAGCUGAGUUUUUCUGGAGCUUUAUAUUCAACUCUGACUUUGCUUCCCUUCACCUCUACUCCCCACCCUAGAAAUAGAAACCUGAGGUCAGGAAGUGCUGAGGGUCCUUGGGUUUGGUGUCGGGGAAGACACCGUGCUGACUCGAACCCACUAGGCCUGGAGCCCAAAAGUCCCUUCUCUGUGACCUGCGACAAGCCUCUACAGCCACGUCUCCUUCCCUGUGGUAACCGAGUGACACCAAUUGGCUCCCAGCCACCGCUGGGCCUCAGGCAGUUGCAGUGGCUUCGGCACUGGCUUUGCUGAGCCAGUGACAGCGACGGCACCUCCUGGAUGUGAAAUGUGCCAACACCCUGGCCUCGGGGACCGUACGGCGUGGUGUGAAAUUUCUGUUUUAACGCUCCAUGACCACAUAGGUCUUGGCUUUUUAUGAGUAAAGCAGAGACCGUGUUGUACCCAAGCUCUCUGGGUGGCACCCACAGCUUCCUCAGCGGGGUAACGGUGACGGGUGGACAACUGGCCCACAGGCAAACUGCACGUCCCCCACGGCGAGCAUCUCUGAGCUGCACUGACCAGUUCAGGCCCAUGCGUCACCGGCAUUUUUCUGAGCCAGCUCCUCUGGUUCAUGAGAAGGUCUGAAUUCAAGAAAUGAACGCCCAGCAAUUAGCAAUGUCCACAGAAUCAAAGGAGCAUGGUUUUAGUUGUCCUCCCAGGCAGCUUUGCCAGUCCGGGUAUGAGGUAAAGCCAGAGGGACCCUGCCUCACCCACGCGCCCCAAGAGGGGUCCAAGGACCACCGACUGUCCCCACUUCCCUGGAACUGAGGAUGAGGCUGAUUCAUGUGUUUCCUGUGACGGCCACGACAUCAUCAUAUCCGCUCGGAGAACUAUUUUUAACUGAUUUAUGUAUUUCUUGUAUGAGGAAGACACCAACUUCUCCUUUAGUCAGUUUUACAGGAAAGUAC